AAAGACUGAAGUAUUUCUGUCAAAACUAAGAAGAAGUCGGAUAAGUGCAAUGAAGAGAGAUGGGCCAUGCAGGGAGAUUACACCAGCUUUUAGUUUGGUUGUCAAGUUGUUAAUAGAGUCAAUAUUGUGAAGAAAUGAAGUUUAAAGUCUAUACAAUGAAAACAAAAUUUCUUGAGAAAUGACAUGUACUACGGUACUGGAAACUUUAUCUUCCUGUCAAAGCUGAUGCAGUAAAGUCAACUGAACAAGAUAAUAACAUAUCUCUGAUAAAGGUGGAAGAUGUCUACAGUGAAUGGGAACAGAAGAUGGCAUAGGCUGUUAGCAGAAAUUAAAACAAGGAAUGUGUCUGUUCAUAAAUUUGAUGAUGUGGAAUUUCAGCUACACAUAAUGUGAUAGAUGAGCACCUUGAAGAACAUUUUAUUUUCUUAUUUGAAAGAAACAUUUUGG